GACGAACGCUGGCGGCGUGCCUAAUACAUGCAAGUGGGACGCAAGGAAACACACUGUGCUUGUAUACCGUGAUUGCUUGAGUCGUGAAUGGGUGAGUAACGCGUAGGUAACCUGACUAUUAGAGGGGGAUAAAUAUUGGAAAAGAUAGCUAAUAUAGCUUAAUAUUAAUUAUUGCAUGAUAAAUGAUUGAAAGACGCAAGCGUAUAACUAGUAGCUGGACUUGCGUUGUAUUAGCUAGUUGGUAAGGUAAGCGAUUACCAAAGCGACGAUACAUAGCCGACCUGGGAGGGUGAUCGGCCACACUGGGACUGAGACACGGCCCAGACUCCUACGGGAGGCAGCAGUAGGGAAUCUUCGGCAAUGGACGAAAGUCUGACCGAGCAACGCCGCGUGGAUGAAGAAGGUUUUCGGAUCGUAAAACUCUUUUUUAAGUCAAGAACGUAAGUGGGAGUGGAAAGUUCACGCAGUGACGGUAGCUAACCAGAAAGGGACGGCUAACUACGUG
rnacentral:rRNA from 1 species